CCUACGGAGGGCAGCAGUGGGGAAUAUUGCACAAUGGGGGAAACCCUGAUGCAUCAACGCCGCGUGAGUGAAGAAGUAUUUCGGUAUGUAAAGCUCUAACAGCAGGGAAGAGAAUGACGGUACCUGACUACGAAGCCCCGGCUAACUACGUGCCAUCAGCCGCGGUAAUACGUAGGGGGCGAGCGUUAUCCGGCUUUACUGGGGGGAAAGGGAGCGUAGACGGUUCUGCAAGUCUGAAGUGAAAGCCCGUGGCUUAACCGCGGAACGGCUUUGGAAACUGUGGAACUUGGGUGCUGGAGAGGAAAGCGGAAUUCCUAGUGGAGCCGGGAAAUGCGUAGAUAUUAGGAGGAACACCAGUGGCGAAGGCGGCUUGCUGGACAGUAACUGACGUUGAGGCUCGAAAGCGUGGGGAGCAAACAGGAUUAGAUACCCUUGUAGUC
rnacentral:rRNA from 1 species